UACGUAGGGUGCGAGCGUUGUCCGGAAUCAUUGGGCGUAAAGAGCGUGUAGGCGGUCCGGUAAGUCCGCUGUGAAAGUCGGGGGCUCAACCCUCGGAUGCCGGUGGAUACUGUCGGGCUAGAGUACGGAAGAGGCGAGUGGAAUUCCUGGUGUAGCGGUGAAAUGCGCAGAUAUCAGGAGGAACACCAAUUGCGAAGGCAGCUCGCUGGGACGUUACUGACGCUGAGACGCGAAAGCGUGGGGAGCAAACAGG
rnacentral:rRNA from 1 species